rnacentral:rRNA from 1 species
CGGUGUUUAACUGGCGUGAUGUGGGACGUCCUACCGGUGGGCUUAGCCUCGCGAGGGGCGGCCCAACUAAUAUCCCGUCGCGGUGCUCUUUACUGAGUGUCGAGUCGGGCCGGUACGUUUACUUUGAACAAAUUAGAGUGCUUAAAGCAGGCUAUCCUCGCCUGAAUACUGCGUGCAUGGAAUAAUGGAAUAGGACCUCGGUUCUAUUUUGUUGGUUUUCGGAACCCCGAGGUAAUGAUUAAUAGGGACAGAUGGGGGCAUUCGUAUUGCGACGUUAGAGGUGAAAUUCUUGGAUCGUCGCAAGACGGACAGAAGCGAAAGCAUUUGCCAAAAAUGUUUUCAUUAAUCAAGGACGAAAGUUAGAGGUUCGAAGGCGAUCAGAUACCGCCCUAGUUCUAACCAUAAACGAUGCCAGCUAGCGAUCCGCCGAAGUUCCUCCGAUGACUCGGCGGGGCAGCUUCCGGGAAACCAAAGCUUUUGGGUUCCGGGGGAAGUAUGGUUGCAAAGCUGAAACUUAAAGGAAUUGACGGAAGGGCACCACCAGGAGUGGAGCCUGCGGCUUAAUUUGACUCAACACGGGAAACCUCACCAGGCCCAGACACCGGAAGGAUUGACAGAUUGAUAGCUCUUUCUUGAUUCGGUGGGUGGUGGUGCAUGGCCGUUCUUAGUUGGUGGAGCGAUUUGUCUGGUUAAUUCCGAUAACGAACGAGACUCUAGCCUGCUAAAUAGGCGUACCUUAUGGUAUCGCGAAGGCCCCCGGCUUCGGCCGGUGGGUUUUUACUACCAACGUACAAACAAAUCUUCUUAGAGGGACAGGCGG